rnacentral:rRNA from 1 species
UACGUAGGGGGCAAGCGUUGUCCGGAAUCAUUGGGCGUAAAGCGCACGUAGGCGGUCUGUUAUGUCGGAUGUGAAAGCCCUUGGCUUAACUGAGGAAGUGCAUCCGAAACUGGCAGGCUAGAGUACUAAAGAGGGUCGCGGAAUUCCCGGUGUAGAGGUGAAAUUCGUAGAUAUCGGGAGGAACACCGGUGGCGAAGGCGGCGACCUGGGUAGAUACUGACGCUGAGGUGCGAAAGCGUGGGGAGCAAACAGG